ACCUCAGGUUACAUACGCUUCAGGUUACAGACUCCGCUAACCCAGAAAUAUUGCCUCAGGUUAAGAACUUUGCUUCAGGAUGAGAACAGAAAUCGUGCUCCAGCUGCGCGGCGGCAGCAGGAGGCCCCAUUAGCUAAAGUGGUGCUUCAGGUUAAGAACAGUUUCAGGUUAAGAACGGACCUACGGAACAAAUUAAGUACUUAA